rnacentral:lncRNA from 1 species
CUGAUCUUGACUGCUGUGAAAGGUUCUCAGACCUGAAAUGUGGAAAAUAUCAAAAAGCCUCCUUGGCUCAUUUCAGGAUGAAGGUCACAUCCAUAUUAAUUGCCCUGAUAAUGAAACCUUCCUGGAGGCCACCUGUCAGAACAUCUGGAGCUCUUGUUGUUACUGCUUCCAACAAGGCCCAUUUCCAUCCCUACGCUGACUUCAAAGACCCAUCUUCAAGGUUGAUGGCUUAUCUGAAAAUCGUGCUGCUAAGAAUGAGAAGUGUGGUUAAUGUCUGACUUCCUACAGGUCUCCAUUUAGUCUCCCCAAUUCCUGACUACAAGUGUUAUCUUCUUCAUUUAGAAUGGUGAUUUUAUUUAUCAAGGUAAGGUUUUGCUCUUAAAACUUCUCAGCUUCAUAUCUCAGAAGUUCAACUUUUGCCAUAUCUCACAUCAUGUAAUUUGCAUCUUGUCUCAGGUCCUUCUUUCCUCAAGGGUAUACACAUUUUCUUUGGUUGGAGUAAUAACGUUUUAAUGUGUUUGUUUGUUUGUUUGUUUGUUUUUGUCAGCUCUUGCAACUAUUUUCUUUAGUUCCAACUCUGUAGUUAGGGCCUGACACUAAAAUGUUCAUUCUUGAAGGAGUGGAAAAACAUUUUCCUUCAGUAUAAUUUUAUUUUGUACUCUUUACUUUUCUUGAUUUGUAGUUCCAUGUAACUAGAAAUCUUCCUGUGGGGUUUAUAAGAGCCAUGUAUUCCCCUGCUCAAGGUACUAGUUUUUGUGUUUAAAUUCUUCUAUUAUAUGGUGGACACUUAUAACUUUGGACACAAACUCUUCCUGUGUCUGAUUAAGUUCAAGUACAUUUCAUCAAGUUUGACUUCCAGGUUAUCUAAAUGGACUUUUCAUUAGAAGAAUCAAUUACACUUCA